GAGCGCGGCUGCUGCAGGGGGAGGAAGACGGGGAGGAGGAGCCGUGCGCCGCGGCGGCGGCCGCCAGGGGAACCGAGCGCCCGGCGCGGAGAGCGCGGGAGCGGAGCAGUAGCCCGAUCCGGGGCCGCGGGCCGAGCUGCCGAUUGGCCAACGGCUCCUUUCAACCCUGCCUCGUUGGUGGCCACUGGAGAAGCGCGGGGGGCUCCCCCAGACAGCCGUGGGGACAAGUUAGAGCC
rnacentral:lncRNA from 1 species